rnacentral:rRNA from 1 species
GACGAACGCUGGCGGCGUGCCUAAUACAUGCAAGUCGAACGAACAGACCCUGAGCUUGCUCCUCUGACGUUUGGCGCGGACGGGUGAGUAACGUGUGUAUACCGUACCUAUAAGUCGGGUAAAAUCACGGGAAUCCGGCGAUUAUACCGGAUAAUCUCUUGCACCGCAUUGGUCAAUGGUGAAUGACGGCUUUUCGGUCACGUCUAGCGGCAUAUGCGCCGGAUUAGCUGGUUGGUAAGUUCACGGCUUACCACGGCAACGAUGCGUAGCCGAACUGAGAGGGUGAUCGGCCGCACUGGGAGUGAGACACGGUCCAGACGCAUACGGGAGGCAGCAGUAGGGAAUCGUGCGCAAUGGGCGAAAGCCUGACGGCGCAGCGCCGCGUGAGUGAUGAAGGUCUUCGGAUCGGAAAACUCUGUUAUUAGGGAAGAACAAAUGUGUAAGUAACUAUGCACGUCUUGACGGUACCUAAUCAGAAAGCCACGGCUAACUACGUG